rnacentral:rRNA from 1 species
GAUAGAUCUCGACUGCUGGAAUGCAUCGAGAUCUAAAGCUCCGGCGCCUAAGGAUGGGUCUGCGGCCUAUCAGGUAGUAGUGGGUGUAGCGUACCUACUAGCCUACGACGGGUACGGGUUGUGAGAGCAAGAGCCCGGAGAUGGAUUCUGAGACACGAAUCCAGGCCCUACGGGGUGCAGCAGGCGCGAAAACUUUACAAUGCUGGAAACAGCGAUAAGGGGACCUCGAGUGCCAGGUUACAAAUCUGGCUGUCGUGAUGCCUAAAAAGCAUUGCAUAGCAAGGGCCGGGCAAGACCGGUGCCAGCCGCCGCGGUAACACCGGCGGCUCGAGUGGUAACCGUUAUUAUUGGGUCUAAAGGGUCUGUAGCCGGCCGGAUAAGUCUCUUGGGAAAUCCAGCAGCUCAACUGUUGGGCUUUCAGGAGAUACUGUCUGGCUCGAGGCCGGGAGAGGUGAGAGGUACUUCAGGGGUAGGGGUGAAAUCUUGUAAUCCUUGAAGGACCACCAGUGGCGAAGGCGUCUCACCAGAACGGACCUGACGGCAAGGGACGAAAGCUAGGGGCACGAACCGGAUUAGAUACCCGGGUAGUCCUAGCCGUAAACGAUACUCGCUAGGUGUCGGCCACGGUGCGACCGUUGUCGGUGCCGUAGGGAAGCCGUGAAGCGAGCCACCUGGGAAGUACGGCCGCAAGGCUGAAACUUAAAGGAAUUGGCGGGGGAGCACCACAACGGGUGGAGCUUGCGGU